UCGGGGAUCGUCUAAUGGUAGGACGCCAGACUCUGACUCUGGCUGUCUAGGUUCGAAUCCUAGUCCCCGAA
rnacentral:tRNA from 1 species